UCAAGUAUUUGCCAACAGGCUGCAGGCUGUAAGGACAUUUAAUUUCAUUUACAUUUCCUUCUGCCUUUGUUUCCCAUAUCAGUUGUACAUCUUAAUUUCCUUCAUUUAUUUAAACAGGACAGACAGGCAGGGGUGCCUGGGUGGCUCAGUGAGUGGAGUGUCUGCCUUAGGCUCAGGUCAUGAUCUCUGGGUUCUGGGAUCAAGUUCCCCAUCAGGCUCCCUGCUCAGUGGGGAGCCUGCUUCUUCCUCCGCCCCUCCCCACUGCUCAUGCUCUCUCUCAAAUAAAUAAUAAAAUAAAUGAACAAAUAAACAGAUAGGACCCCCAAUCUCAUGGUUCAACAUUCAGUAAGUACACAUGACCACGUCAGCAGAACACUUGCAUACCCUCGGACCCCGCACUGCCACUUCUGCCUACAUACUCGACAGAAAUACACGGGUAUGUCCAUGACCUCGACAAGAAUGUUCCUAGCAGCACUAUCUGUCAUUGCCAAACACUGGAAGUGACCCAAAUGCCUGUCAGCAGCAGAAUGGAUAAGUAAGUGCACUCAUCAUUUCCUGCACAGCCACCUCGGGCGCUGAAUCUGCCCUUCUCAGUGCUCACAGCAGGCAGGAGCAUCUGGAAGACUCUGAUCCUUCCCCCCCCCACUCCCCGCCCCGCUGCACUCACUCAUCAACCAGCAAACAUGGAUGCUGUCAAAGCUUCCGGCCAGCCUCCUGCAGACAACCACACCCAAAUGAGAAAGGCCAACACAGGAGCUUCUCUGCUGAGCCACCCUCUCCUGCCCCGUUCCCUUCCACCACACGAGCCCUGUCCACUCUGGGCCUGAGGGUUCCCUUCGAAGAAGCCCUGCAUGGGAGAUCCCCGGGGUCCUCUCUCAAAAGGCCCCCUGCCUCUCCUGCCCAGGAGCAGAAGCCAAGAACUGUGAGCUGAUGGGAGCUCAGGAGAUUGCCUUGUCCUUCCCCCUGGGAGGCCUGGCCGUGUGCCUUGCUUUCACCGACAGAAUGAGGUGCAGGUAAGAAAGCGUUGGUUUCAAGCCUGGGUCUCAUCUGAGGGGCCUUGCACGUUUCCACUUGUCCUUUUGCACCCGCAGGAGGACGAGCCCAGGCUAGCCUACUGGAAGGAGGCAGAUGCUUGCAGAGAAACCAAAGUCUCCCAGCCACCCCGGGCCAACACUGAGCUGGAUCGGUGCA
rnacentral:lncRNA from 1 species